CAAGAAGAUAGGAAAGGAACAAAAGAAGGAAAGAAAUCACCAAUUGUGUAAACUUGGGCUAGAUACUUAAAUUCUUUGGAACUCAGUUUCCUCACCUGCUUAUCUCAGAUAAGUCUCAAGUGAGAUAAUACAGGAGAAUACAUUCUAAUUGCAGAGAGCUGUAGAACUACACAGCCUCUAUUUUCAGUAGCCAGAAGUCAAUGAAGUAACCCCACAGGCCUUUGACCUGAGAAUUUUCAGGUAGAGACUUCUUCAUGGAUAAUCCUGAAGAGAUAAAUGCAAGGCAGAGAAGAAUGGGGUAGUCAAAGAUGAGUGUUGCAAAGAAAUACUUCUCUGCCUCCCACCAGGGACCAGAAGUUUCACCGCCUUUUUCCAGACCUCUAGGAGAACUGGUUGGAUGAGGUGGUUGGAUGGCAUCACCGACUCAAUGGACAUGAGUUUGGGUAGACUCCAGGAGUUGGUGAUGGACAGGGAGGCCUGGCGUGCUGCAGUCCAUGGGGUCACAAAGAAUUGGACACAACUGAGCGACUGAACUGAACUGAACUGAAGGACAACUAUUCCUCCCUGGUUAGAACUGAUGAUCUUCCCCUGGAUGGACUUACAGGCCAAAAUGCAAUCAAGCUUAGGAGCUUCUGGCUCCAGUCACAACUGCAAGUGAGGCAUACCUCAGCAAUAUUGUGGGUUUUGUUCCAGACUAAC
ensembl:lncRNA